CGCCGGGCCGCUUCCCGCUGUGGAGAUGCGGCCCGAGGGGGUUUGAUGACGCUCGAACAGGCAUGCCCGCCGGAAUACCAGCGGGCGCAAUGUGCGUUCAAAGAUUCGAUGAUUCGUUGAAUUCUGCAAUUCACAUUACUUAUCGCAUUUCGCUGCGUUC
rnacentral:rRNA from 1 species